rnacentral:rRNA from 1 species
AUUGAACGCUGGCGGCAGGCCUAACACAUGCAAGUCGAACGGUAACACAGAGAGCUUGCUCUCGGGUGACGAGUGGCGGACGGGUGAGUAAUGUCUGGGAAACUGCCUGAUGGAGGGGGAUAACUACUGGAAACGGUAGCUAAUACCGCAUAAUGUCGCAAGACCAAAGAGGGGGGACCUUAAGGGCCUCUUGCCAUCAGAUGUGCCCUGAUGGGAUUAG